UUACAAACAAUUAAGCCAUCUAGGCUUCUUUCCUCUUGGAGCUUUGUGUGUAAUUGCUGUGAAAAGCAGCCUCCUUUGAAGUCUGUAUGCACUGUUGCCUACAUGGAUUGUCCUAAGGGACUUUGGAGACAAUU
ensembl:snoRNA SNORA70 Small nucleolar RNA SNORA70